UCAUGGCAUUAAGAAGGGAUACGAUCGUGGGCUGCCUGUGCCCUGGUCAUUGAUAGUGCAGGGAGAGGAACUGCGAAAGCAUUUCCCCGUGUUUGGAGGGUCCACCCAUGUCCCUUCCAAACCCUGGCGCUUUCGGACA
rfam:Myotis brandtii contig174565, whole genome shotgun sequence.